GUGGGUUAGUGAGGAGAGACAGAGAGAGGUGUGUAGGUGCGGUAAGAGAGAAAGCAGAGGAUUUGGAUUUUCUUCUGAUUUUGACUGCUUAAAGAGGAGGCGGAGCCAGCAUCAAUCAUGCGGUCAGUUCCAGACCUUCAGGAAGAAGAAGGAAGGUUCAGCGGACUUCUCCUUCACGGAACAGAGUGGCUCAGAUGACUGAGAAGCGCAAUGCAGCUCAAAAAGAGCAACAAGGUGGCCCCGCUCCAGCACAAGGAGCAGCCUCCUGUGGCACCAGUUGUGACAAAGCUCUUCAAAGGUUUUCCAGAGCUUGAGAAGGCAAUAGCCCGACACUGGGCCCGUAUUAGGCCAGCACCCGAAGAAGAGGACCUAAUUGUAGAAGAUCUGGAAUGAGCAUCAGGUGUGACAGGAAGGCGCUCCGCUUUGGAAGAGUUAAAAGGGAGUAAGGGAAGAACGAGGGCAAUGAGAUCGAGGUAACUCUCCAGCCUCUCCUGAGCUGCAGAGGCUCAGGGCAGAGAGGAGGAGGGAACUAAGUUCCCGCAGGAGGAGUGCUCGCCUCCAAGCCAGGAGAGGUGAGUCACCAGAGGAUCGUGGCCGCCCUAUACCUUGGGGCAGAUAAAAGCCGGCCAGCCCCAGUCCCAAGUUGCGGGAGCAACACUGUUGGUUGCUAGUUCCUGCCUGAACCCUGUCCUGCUUUCCUGCCUGAGCUUCUGACCCGCCAUGGCUCCUUGCUUGCAAGCCUGUUCCUGAUUUCACCCGACUCCCUGCCCUGCACCCAGCUUCAACUUCCAUGGACUGCCUCCACGUUGCACCUUUGACUAUGGACCGGACUUGGACCUUGCCUCUCAGGUAACCCAUGGGACCAGCACAACGAGGAAGGAGGGAGAAAGGAUUGAAGAGAGAUGAAAAUGGUGGGGACAAAAGGCUGACUGCUGACUUACCCUUACCGUGCGAGGAAGAAACCAGAAACAAUGAAAAAAAUUAGGCCUUUUAGGGAUGAUGUCUAUUUCUUUUUGUGUAUCUUGUUGGUGCGUAAGCAU